GCGAUAACUAAUGUGAAUUGCAGAAUUCAGUGAAUCAUCGAGUCUUUGAACGCACAUUGCGCCCCCUGGUAUUCCGGGGGGCAUGCCUGUCCGAGCGUCA
rnacentral:rRNA from 1 species